CAAAAAUUUUCUCUUUUUAUAAUCUACAAAUUUUACCCACAGGCUAAGCAAAAAACAAAACAAAAUAAAAUUUUUCGCUCUACCCUACCCUUCACACCACAAAAUUACAAAAUUUGUUUGUCAAAAUAAUAGCACCAAUCAAUUUUGCAAAGCUGCCAACCGCAAAAAUCCAUCAGCGAAGCUAACUAGAUUUCAGAAACACGAGUGUUUACACGAAUACAAUGUACAAUGAAAGCAUAAAAACACACACAUAAAUAUGAAAACGGUAAAAAGUUGCUAAAAGUUUUAAUAAACAAAUGUGCCGGAUGCAUACAUGUAAUUGAAAAAGCAAAAUUUUUCAUCAGAGAGACGUGAGGCGACGAUUGGCAAUGAAAACGAGUAGCAUUGGCGGGUUGUUGUCAAAAGGCGGAUAAUAUAAAUCAAUUUGUGUAAAAAUGGUGAAAUAACAAACAUUUCAGAAAAAAAUUAAAAAAAAAAAAA